UCCUACGGGAGGCAGCAGUGAGGAAUUUUGCGCAAUGGGGGGAACCCUGACGCAGCAACGCCGCGUGAGUGAAGAAGGCCUUCGGGUCGUAAAGCUCUGUCGAGUGGGAAGAACAUCCGAUAGGUGAACAGUCUAUUGGACUGACGGUACCACAGAAGGAAGCACCGGCUAACUCCGUGCCAGCAGCCGCGGUAAUACGUAGGGGACGAGCGUUGUCCGGAAUUACUGGGCGUAAAGGGCGCGCAGGCUGUGCUGCAAGUCAGCUGUGAAAUAUCUGGGCUUAACCUGGAUAUGCGGUUGAGACUGCAGUGCUGGAGUGCUGUAGAGGCAAGUGGAAUUCCCAGUGUAGCGGUGAAAUGCGUAGAUAUUGGGAAGAACACCGGUGGCGAAGGCGACUUGCUGGGCAGCAACUGACGCUGAGGCGCGAAAGCCAGGGGAGCAAACGGGAUUAGAUACCCCGGUAGUCCUGGCCGUAAACGAUGAAUGCUAGGUGUGCGUGUAGAGAUACAUACGUGCCGGAGUUAACGCGAUAAGCAUUCCGCCUGGGGAGUACGGUCGCAAGAUUGAAACUCAAAGGA
rnacentral:rRNA from 1 species